rnacentral:rRNA from 2 species
GCCUGAUCCAGCCAUACCGCGUGGGUGAAGAAGGCCUUCGGGUUGUAAAGCCCUUUUGUUGGGAAAGAAAUCCAGCCGGCUAAUACCUGGUUGGGAUGACGGUACCUGACUAAGAAGCCCCGGCUAACUACGUGCCAGCAGCCGCGGUAAUACGUACGGGGCAAGCGUUAUCCGGAUUUACUGGGUGUAAAGGGAGCGUAGGUGGUUCGGCAAGUCAGAUGUGAAAGCCCGGGGCUCAACCCCGGGACUGCAUUUGAAACUGUCGGGCUAGAGUGCAGGAGAGGUAAGUGGAAUUCCUAGUGUAGCGGUGAAAUGCGUAGAUAUUAGGAGGAACACCAGUGGCGAAGGCGGCUUACUGGACUGUAACUGACACUGAGGCUCGAAAGCGUGGGGAGCAAACA